rnacentral:tRNA from 1 species
UUAAUGUUAAAUCCUUUUUUGGAGGUGUUGCUGAGUGGUUGAA